rnacentral:rRNA from 1 species
UACAGAGGUCCCGAGCGUUGUUCGGAUUCACUGGGCGUAAAGGGUGCGUAGGUGGUGAGGUAAGUCGGAUGUGAAAUCUCGGAGCUUAACUCCGAAAUGGCAUUGGAAACUGCCUUGCUAGAGGUUCGGAGGGGGGACUGGAAUACUUGGUGUAGCAGUGAAAUGCGUAGAUAUCAAGUGGAACACCAGUGGCGAAGGCGAGUCCCUGGACGAAACCUGACACUGAGGCACGAAAGCUAGGGGAGCAAACAGG